GUUUUAAUAAUUUAAUAAAAAUACUGGUCUUGUAAAUCAGAAAUAAGGAUUUUCUUUUAAAACU
rnacentral:tRNA from 1 species